CGGUCAACAGAGGGAGGCAAAACCGCGAGGUGGAGCAAACCCCUAAAAGCCGUCCCAGUUCGGAUUGCAGGCUGCAACCCGCCUGUAUGAAGUUGGAAUCGCUAGUAAUCGCGGAUCAGCAUGCCGCGGUGAAUACGUUCCCGGGCCUUGUACACACCGCCCGUCACACCAUGAGAGUCGGGAACACCCGAAGUCCGUAGCCUGACCGCAAGGGGGGCGCGGCCGAAGGUGGGUUCGAUAAUUGGGGUGAAGUCGUAACAAGGUAUC
rnacentral:rRNA from 1 species